CCUACGGGUGGCAGCAGUGAGGAAUAUUGGGCAAUGGGGGCAACCCUGACCCAGCCAUGCCGCGUGAGUGAAGAAGGUCUUCGGAUUGUACAGCUCUUUCGGACGUUACGAUGAUGCCGGUAGCGUCUAAAGAAGCCCCUGCCAACUUCGUGCCAGCAGCCGCGGUAAUACGAAGGGUGCGAGCGUGGUUCGGAAUUACUGGGCGUAAAGGGAGUGUAGGCGGAGAUGUAAGAUAGCGGUGAAAUGCCGGGGCUCAACCCCGGAACUGCCAUUAUGACUAUGUAUCUAGAGAAAGGGAGAGGAGAGCGGAAUACGCAGUGUAGAGGUGAAAUUCGGAGAUAUUGGGUAGAACACCGGUGGCGAAGGCGGCUAUCUGGCCAUUUACUGACGUUGAGGCUCGAAAGCAUGGGGAGCAAACAGGAUUAGAUACCCGAGUAGUC
rnacentral:rRNA from 1 species